AUGUCAGUCGAACGAUGAUGCCUGCUUGCUGGUGGAUUAGUGGCGAACGGGUGAGUAACACGUGAGUAACCUGCCCUUAACUCUGGGAUAAGCCUGGGAAACUGGGUCUAAUACCGGAUAUGACUCCUCAUCGCAUGGGGGGGGGUGGAAAGCUUUAUUGUGGUUUUGGAUGGACUCGCGGCCUAUCAGCUUGUUGGUGAGGUAAUGGCUCACCAAGGCGACGACGGGUAGCCGGCCUGAGAGGGCACCGGCCACACUGGGACUGAGACACGGCCCAGACUCCUACGGGAGGCAGCAGUGGGGAAUAUUGCACAAUGGGCGAAAGCCUGAUGCAGCGACGCCGCGUGAGGGAUGACGGCCUUCGGGUUGUAAACCUCUUUCAGUAGGGAAGAAGCGAAAGUGACGGUACCUGCAGAAGAAGCGCCGGCUAACUACGUGCCAGCAGCCGCGGUAAUACGUAGGGCGCAAGCGUUAUCCGGAAUUAUUGGGCGUAAAGAGCUCGUAGGCGGUUUGUCGCGUCUGCCGUGAAAGUCCGGGGCUCAACUCCGGAUCUGCGGUGGGUACGGGCAGACUAGAGUGAUGUAGGGGAGACUGGAAUUCCUGGUGUAGCGGUGAAAUGCGCAGAUAUCA
rnacentral:rRNA from 1 species